rnacentral:rRNA from 1 species
UGACGGUACCUGACUAAGAAGCCCCGGCUAACUACGUGCCAGCAGCCGCGGUAAUACGGAGGAUUCAAGCGUUAUCCGGAUUUAUUGGGUUUAAAGGGUGCGUAGGCGGUUUGAUAAGUUAGAGGUGAAAUUUCGGGGCUCAACCCUGAACGUGCCUCUAAUACUGUUGAGCUAGAGAGUAGUUGCGGUAGGCGGAAUGUAUGGUGUAGCGGUGAAAUGCUUAGAGAUCAUACAGAACACCGAUUGCGAAGGCAGCUUACCAAACUAUAUCUGACGUUGAGGCACGAAAGCGUGGGGAGCAAACAGGAUUAGAUACCCUGGUAGUCCACGCAGUAAACGAUGAUAACUCGUUGUCGGCGAUACACAGUCGGUGACUAAGCGAAAGCGAUAAGUUAUCCACCUGGGGAGUACGUUCGCAAGAAUGAAACUCAAAGGAAUUGACGGGGGCCCGCACAAGCGGAGGAACAUGUGGUUUAAUUCGAUGAUACGCGAGGAACCUUACCCGGGCUUGAAAGUUAGCGACGAUUCUUGAAAGAGGAUUUCCCUUCGGGGCGCGAAACUAGGUGCUGCAUGGUUGUCGUCAGCUCGUGCCGUGAGGUGUCGGGUUAAGUCCCAUAACGAGCGCAACCCCUACCGUUAGUUGCCAUCAGGUCAAGCUGGGCACUCUGGCGGGACUGCCGGUGUAAGCCGAGAGGAAGGUGGGGAUGACGUCAAAUCAGCACGGCCCUUACGUCCGGGGCUACACACGUGUUACAAUGGUAGGUACAGAGGGCAGCUACCCAGCGAUGGGAUGCGAAUCUCGAAAGCCUAUCUCAGUUCGGAUUGGAGGCUGAAACCCGCCUCCAUGAAGUUGGAUUCGCUAGUAAUCGCGCAUCAGCCAUGGCGCGGUGAAUACGUUCCCGGGCCUUGCACACACCGCCCGUCAAG